GGCUUGGUAGCUCAGUGGUAGAGCGUAGGACUGAAAAUCCUUGCGUCGCCGGUUCAAUCCCGGCUCAAGCCACCA
rnacentral:tRNA from 9 species